UCAUGCAAAAAUGGAGUCAGUUCUACCAGAAUUUCGUUCGGUUAUGAAUUAAGAAGCUAACAAUACUUUAGGUGGAUACUUCCAAUAAUAUUUUACAGUUAUAGCGAUAUUUCGGUUUUGUGCCGUGUAGAAACUCAUUAUAUACAUUAUCUGCUGUUUCUUCCCAAAGGAGGGCGAAAGCUGGUUAUUUUAUCAGAACAGAAAAAAUAAUAUCAUAAGAACUUGAUUAAGAAUAUAUUGGGAUUUCUAUAAAAUUAUUCGUUUAUUUCAUUAAAAAAAGACAGAGACAAAUUCUCGACAUAUCACCAGCAAAUCAUGACUUGUCAGAAAGCGAAGUAGAAGAGAAGGUCGGGAAAAGUUAACGGUGUCUCAAGAAAGGUGAAAAAAAAAUCCAGACGAAACGGAUUCUAGGAACUAUAUUGCGGAGGAAUAUGAGAGUGCUAAAGUUCCUCGUACUGGCGGCAUUCAGUGUGCUAGGUUCAACACUACCGGUUAAGAACACUGCCGAGAAAACCGUGCAAAUAGAUCAUUCGGAAACCAGCAUGAAGGACAAGUUUCAUGACGAUUUUUUCGACAUUAAGUCAUCUGAUUUCUCAAUAUUUGACGUAAGAACUCUACUAUGGAAUCUCUAUCAGAACAUGCUCAGUCGUCAAUUUCCGACUAUAUUUGAUUAUGACGUCACAGAGCUCAUUCAGACCAAUCGGAUUGCAAAACGCCAACAUUUCGUACGGAACCGCCGACUAAUGUCGGAUUGUUUUGGUUCUUGUUAUAGAAGAAUGCAAAGCCUUAUCAAAUGUAAACAACUGUGUUUUUAGAGAUGUGACUUUAUAGCGUAUCUCUUUCUGCAAUUGGAAAUGUUUUACUUCAUCAAUCUACUGUGGUUUCAUUAAUAUUCAAGGGUAUCAAUUUUCGUGGAGAAAGUGAAAAUCACAGUUUCAAGGAUAAGUAAAUUCGUGGCCAAUGACCUUAUCAAUACAAAAUAUUAGUAGAAAUUGCAGUUCAAUGAAGAUUUAAUUUCAAGGAUAAACUUACCAACGGAAUCAACGAAAAUUGGUAUUUAACGAAUAUUGAUGAAACCACAGUAUACGGAUGUUUAUUUUACCAAGACAUAUCUCUGGUCUAAGAUUGUAUUAGAUACUUGAGUUCUAUUAUAAAACUAAACUGCUCAUGAUUUUGUUUGAUCCAUUUUUUUCUGUCUGCGUACAGAGAUAUCCGAAAAAAAUUAAUCAAAAGUUAUUUGAUGUAUAUUCCUCAUACAUACUUCUCAUGAGAGUCAUAAAAGGAGAUAUACUUUUUCUGCCUUGUCUUAUCCAGUAUUUUCUGGUUAUUUGCUUUGCCAGUUUAUGUUCUUCCACUUCUCUUUACAAUUACCUAACUUAGCAUUUCGAAUACCUGCCUUAUCCGUUAAACUGUAUAUCCCGAACAUUUGCAUUAUCUGACUCAUCGGACACUCUGAAAGCCUGGCUAAUGCAACUUGUAUACAAUCCAAAACACCUGCCAUAUACUAAUAUGCAUAUUACAAGAGACGGCCGGAUUCGAGUUUCAUAACUCAAAAACUGUAGGCCUAAGCCAAUUGUUGAUUCGCGACGACUUUAUUCGCGAUUUUCUUGUAGAUGAAAUGGUUCGCGGCGACCAACUUUCGUGAUCUGAGAUGCAGAUUAUUUGGAGACUUAUUUACCAUAUACAGAUCAUGACUGGUUCACGGAAAACAAUAUUUGCGAGGCUGAGGCUCUCGCAAACAUUGCUAAUAAAAUUUCUCACACGCGAAUACAAAUUGGUUUAAAGUACCUUCUGUCUCUUGUAAUUUGCAUAUUCAAACACCUGUCUUAUCCUAAAAGCGUCUUAUUCCAUCUAAAAUCCGUCCUAUUAGACAAUCUGUUCUGUAAAUCUUAGAGUUUAUCUUUAGCAAGUGCCUCGAAGUUUUAACAGAGAGUAAGAUUUAGCCUUCAAAAACCUUCUUUAUCCGACAUCUUUUAUAUCCCGAACAUAAACAUUCAUCUGUUAUAACAUUGACUUUUUGAAAUAUUCACACAACAACAAAAAGUUUGUAUUUGUUCAAAAUGUUUUUUUUCUGCUUUUCAAAUUAAAAGAUGAUUAUCUUAUCGAUUUGCUCCAAUGAAGAAUAAACUGAUUUGCAUUA